UAACCUGUUUUUUACCUGACCACAAAACGUCAAAAUGACAGUCUGUGUGCAAACAUUUAACUGAUUCUGCGUUUUUACUCUAAAUAAAUACUUAUUAGUGUUUCUUAGCUUCCAAGUACAUUUUUUUUGGACAAAAUCAAUAGCGUAAUAAUAACCAGUGUUGCCGAUCUGUGGGGAAUUCCCCAAACUGCGGGGAAAGCAAAGCUGAUUGGGGAAUGUGUGGGGAGAGCUUCAAUUCGGGGAAAAUGCGGGGAUUUUAAGUAUGAACACAAAUACGCGAUAUUUAACAUCAAAUUUCUGCUAGUCUUGAUUGAUUUCCCUGAUAGCCUUUUAUUCCGUAAGUUGACGUCAGAAUAAUGGUCAAGUUGCCGUCCAACUACUGCCGUAUAUUGACGUCAAGUUUACAGCAGAAUCUGGAGAGUAAAAUUUGACGGAAACUUGCGGUGAAUUUAACGUUAAGUAUUAUCUAUUAUCGCCGCCUAGUGGCAGAAAUAAAAAUCACAUGGAAUACGUCGCGACCUACCGGCAGAAUUUAGCUUUCAAGUAGCUCUACCUAGCGGGAAAAAAUACAUUUUUUAAUUUCUGUAAAAAAUAAAAAAAUUAUGGUAUUUGCUCUUCAACGUAACGAAAAAUAUAAUUAGAAAAUAUAGAUAUUAAAAAGAACUUUACAGUGAAUGUGACACUAGUGAUAUCUGACAUACGUUAGAAAUGCAUUCUCACAGAGACCGAACUUUACCUACAUUUUUGGUUGUUUUAUUUCUGUGGGGAAUAUGUGGGGAAUUAUCAUUUUUCUUUCCCCAAACGUGGGGAAUUUCGACAAUGCGUUUGGGGAUUUUAGCAAAUUACUGUCGGCAACACUGAUAAUAACAAUGCCAGUAUGUAGUGUUUUAGCGUGUGAAAACAGAACAUAUCGAAGCAGUCCGGGUACAUCCUAUCACAGGUUUCCACUUCAAGAACGUGAACGCCCUGAUUGGGUUACAUGUGGAAGAACAAACUGGGAACCGCCUAAAAGUUCUGUAAUAUGCUCUAAGCAUUUUGAUGACAACUUCUUUAUUAAACAUGGAGAUAGAACAAGUCCCAACCAAGUUCUGUCAUUUGGAAAAUGUUUCUGUACCAAGUUGUUCACCAUCCUCAAUGCAACAUAGUGAAGUUGCCGGCAUCCCUGCCAACUAUAUUUAGAAGCAGGAAAAUCCAACUAAGCGAACCAAAAGAUCAUGAUUACACAGAUACGCCUCGGAAGAAAAAGUUAAAGCUUAUGCUUGAAAGAAAAAGGGUUUUGUCAGAAACUCGAUUGAAAAAACUACGUGCUGCAAGACAAGCGAACCGGCGUUUAGUAAAAAAAAAUGCUGAACUGUCUGACGUUAUUGCUGAACUGCGGCUAAACUUCAAAUUUUGAAAAACAGAUCAACUCUUCUCUUUCAUUUUUAAGAGAUGAUGCGUUAAUAGAAGAAGCUUUCGAAUCCGAGGAACUUGAUUUUUCAGUAGACCAUGACUAUCUGCCAGAUCCAUCCCGUUUAACAGAAUAUAAAAAACAUGUAGUGGUAUAUAUUGCGGGCUUUGUUGUUACCAAAGUGUCCAAAAUAGUAAAGUGUCACGAUUGCUUAAGUAGCAUAGUGGAGAUGUCAAAUUUAAACUUGUUAUUAAUUUCCAAAAAAGACAAAGGCGGUUUGCGAUAUCCUUCUGCUGAUGUAAUAAAUUUAUGUGAAAUUGCUGAAAGAAUUUUUAGACAAAAUGUCAUACGGUUAGGUUUAAAAAUACUGUCAACAAAAAAAUAUUUUAAUGCUUUUAAUCAGGGAAUGUAUACAACUAAGCCCAAUUAAAGAGUUUUUUAAAUUUCACGGCAACCGGUUUGACCAUUCUCCUUUAGAAAGCCAUGAAAUGCUUUUGAUGAAAGCCAUAACUAUGAAUUAUUUAAAAGUUCGGUUUCAUCAUUACGCCAAAAACUUAUCAGAGCCUGAUGUAAAAGUGCGAAAUAUGUACAACAAAUUGACCCUGUUACGUAAUCAAUGAAUAUUUUCAGUUUA